CUUUUCUUCAGGAUCGAGAGUGCUGCUCUUAUUAUUCACCACUUCGGUGUAAGAAAUCAAUUUAGGACCUCGAACUCUUUCUAUCCACGUCCUCUCUCUCUUUCCAAUACCCGAAUGGACCGGAGCACUUACCAAACCGCAGGUGGUUAGCGUGUCGUGUGAAGCGGCGUGCCCUCAGCCCUAAACUCUGGCUAGCGUGUGAAUGUUUGAGCAGGAAACAGGUUGAUUUAGGGAAAAGGGGGAAAGGCCACAGGAGGCGACUCUGGGCGUGUGAUGGUCAGGCUAGAUUACAGGAAUCUUGGCAGUGAAGCUUUUCCUCCCCGCUCCACCCAGUCUUGAGUUUAGAGACGGCCGGCGCUGACCUGUCCCGUUCCCGCUGAACUCUCCGAUCGAUUACAGCAGCUCCCUUUCCUGCCUUCUCACAGGCGCGCGGAUGGAUUCAGCGCCGCUUCAGCACGCCUGCUUCCUCUCCCAGCGCGGAGGGAAAAAAUAGGUCACGCUUCGGUGAACUCGAAGUUGUUAAUUGAGUAGUGAUAAAAGGCAAAGUUUUUUGCUUUCCGUUCCUUUUUCUAAAAAAGAAAAAGGUGUUUAUAGUAUUCCCUCAAGAUUCUUGAUUUUUUGCUCAGAGUGGCAGUAAAAUAUAUGGAAGCCCGUUUCGGCCAAAAAGUGUCCAUUAUAGGUCUUUUGCAAAAGCCAGUUGUUCAAUUACAUCGUCGUCCAGGAAGUGAAAUCAUUUUUUGGAGCAAAACACAACAGCACAGUUGCCAUGGAAACUCGCACCUCAUUUGGACCCUUUCGUUCUUCAUCAGGUACGUAUACGCUCCCGUUUAAUGCU